CUCAAUGUUGUUAAGAAUUACUAAAGCUGCCACUAUCAAAUUUCACAUUCACCUAUUAAAUAUGAUUGAUAAUAAAAUCCAAAUUUGUUGCCGAUGGAAGUCGAUCAUGAAACGGCUGCCCAUAGACGUCGCCCAAAAUUACUCAACCCUUGAUUUCAGCAAUUGAAAAUUCUCCUCUGGGUUGGAGGUUACGUAAUCUCCAUAUUGAAGAGUCUAAUCUGUACAUUCAAAGCCGGUGUCAAUAUCUCUACAAGCUUGUGAUAUAAAUGGAUUGCACAAUCAGAGGUUGGUGGGUUGCCUGUGUUCGACAGCAUAUCCGAUUGGUACGGUUGAUGAGUAUUGUGGUUGCUACCUAUUCAAAAGAUACUACAAGUUAAUUUUGAUGGCUAAAGAGUACACCCACCUGGAAUUUAGGUGCGACCUUCUCAAGUUUGGACGUGUUAUGACCGACGAGUUAAGGGCAGAUAUUACUGAAGUGAAGCUUGAUCUGAUAGAGUCCACACCGUUCAGGGAUUUGUUUAGAGCUUUUUAUGAGCGGCAAAUAAUAGACUCUGCUUGUAGGUGACAUUCCAGAACUGUUUGGUUUGAAUAUUGAAGGUCGUGAGAUCAACCUUAACCAGAAGAAGAGAAAAGGG